GAUGAACGCUGGCGGCGUGCCUAAUACAUGCAAGUCGAGCGAACAGAUAAGGAGCUUGCUCCUUUGACGUUAGCGGCGGACGGGUGAGUAACACGUGGGUAACCUACCUAUAAGACUGGAAUAACUUCGGGAAACCGGAGCUAAUGCCGGAUAACAUAUAGAACCGCAUGGUUCUAUAGUGAAAGAUGGUUUUGCUGUCACUUAUAGAUGGACCCGCGCCGCAUUAGCUAGUUGGUAAGGUAACGGCUUACCAAGGCAACGAUGCGUAGCCGACCUGAGAGGGUGAUCGGCCACACUGGAACUGAGACACGGUCCAGACUCCUACGGGAGGCAGCAGUAGGGAAUCUUCCGCAAUGGGCGAAAGCCUGACGGAGCAACGCCGCGUGAGUGAUGAAGGUCUUCGGAUCGUAAAACUCUGUUAUUAGGGAAGAACAAAUGUGUAAGUAACUGUGCACGUCUUGACGGUACCUAAUCAGAAAGCCACGGCUAACUACGUG
rnacentral:rRNA from 1 species